UCUAUAUACAAAGUAUGAAGCAUCCAGGUCUUCCACCUUCUAAAAUAUAAAGCUUUUAAGAAGUAAGCUAACACCGCCGCCGCCGGAUCACUAUCCCUAUGUCGAGCUUUCUGCAACAAAAGUUGCAGGCUCGACAAAAAUGGGCUCAUUUCACUUACACUCAUUGUGGUUGAUUUGGAGAAAUUUUUCAUGUUUGUAUUUUUAUUUUUACUAAGUGUAAAAUGUACUGAAUUUCAGAUUUACAUCCUGUUUUGAUUGAUAAAGAGAGAUUAAAUGCUACCCUUUUUUCCAGAAUAAGAAGUAUCUCUCAAAAAAGUACAGUUGAUUAAUCAAGAGUCUAUAUUACUGGCAAUUAAAGUCAGACAUCACUUAUCUGGGACAAAAUGGAACAUAUUCAAAAUACAGCAGCAUAAUAAAUCCUGUCAAGCAGAAAUCAAAUUCAAUAGGCAUAUCAAUAGAUUAGUGUCUUGGGGAGAUUGGGGUGUUCUGGAAAAUCAAAAGUAACUAGUACUACAGGUCAACUUUGAAACUGAUUAAAUUUUUUUUUUAAAUUACCGAUGAUUUAGAAAAAAAUAUUUGUAUACAGGCCAUUUUUUGUAAUCUGUAGGACCUAAUUUUCUGACAAGGAUUCAGGUACCAUAUCAUUUCAUAACAAUAUAGCUUAACUACAAACAAAAACAAUUUCAGCUGGACUGCAAUCUACAGGUGGUCUUAUUACACAGGUUAGGUGGACAUAAUAAAACUAGAAUUGUAACUGAAAAAUGAGAAGAAAUGAUGAAAGUUUUAUACAAGACCAUCAUGAUACAGCCCAAAUUGUAACCACACUGGGUGAAAGCCAGUCUUAAUGUCAAUCAAGGGUGACCGAUACUAUUCCAAUAAAUCACACAUAUGUGGUUCUCAGGUAUUCGUUGGGCUUUCUAACAUCUCCAUGAGGAACGUGUCUAUUGGUGUAUCACCAAUCAAUUUAAAGAAAAACAAAUGUUCCAGGCACUUUAGUCCAAUACUUCGUAAGGCAGGAAGUCUGAGCAGUAACUUGGCGAAUCGGCCUGGUUCUUCUGGAUAUCGAGUUUUACAGUAUUCCUCCAAUGAAGCGUAAACUUUCUCACGCAACUGUUCCACUUCAUGGGUAGCAGUAAGUCCUUUAGCAUCUAUUGAACAAAUCAAAAUAUUUUACAUUUAGAAAAAAAAGUAUGUUAAACAUAUGGAAAUAUAAAUAACUUUAUGACGGUCAUAAAAUUUUUAACAGUCAGCAGUUAAUAGGCAAA
rnacentral:lncRNA from 1 species